CGUGUAGGCGGGGAUACAAGUCUGAUGUGAAAGCCCUGGGCUUAACCUGGGAAGUGCAUUGGAAACUGUAUUUCUUGAGUACUGGAGAGGAAGGGGGAAUUCCCGGUGUAGAGGUGAAAUUCGUAGAGAUCGGGAGGAAUACCAGUGGCGUAGGCGCCUUUCUGGACGGUUACUGACGCUGAGACGCGAAAGCGUGGGGAGCAAACA
rnacentral:rRNA from 1 species